ensembl:ncRNA W01C8.13 ncRNA
CCGUCUGCGUCUGAUCACUCUAACCUCGAUAGACAACGCGUGAGACAGAGAGGGUACGUGAUCAAGUACGAGGUCAGCCUCUGGGCUAGCUCGCCCGCCCGGUUCAAGAAACGCAACAAAGUGUGUGGUGG